rnacentral:rRNA from 1 species
AAACCAACAGGGAUUGCCCUAGUAACGGCGAGUGAAGCGGCAACAGCUCAAAUUUGAAAUCUGGCUCUUUUAGAGUCCGAGUUGUAAUUUGCAGAGGGAGCUUUGGCUUUGGCAGCGGUCCAAGUUCCUUGGAACAGGACGUCACAGAGGGUGAGAAUCCCGUACGUGGUCGCUGGCUAUUGCCGUGUAAAGCCCCUUCGACGAGUCGAGUUGUUUGGGAAUGCAGCUCUAAAUGGGAGGUACAUUUCUUCUAAAGCUAAAUAUUGGCCAGAGACCGAUAGCGCACAAGUAGAGUGAUCGAAAGAUGAAAAGCACUUUGGAAAGAGAGUCAAACAGCACGUGAAAUUGUUGAAAGGGAAGCGCUUGCAGCCAGACUUGCUUGCAGUUGCUCAUCCGGGCUUUUGCCCGGUGCACUCUUCUGUAGGCAGGCCAGCAUCAGUUUGGGCGGUAGGAUAAAGGUCUCUGUCACGUACCUCUCUUCGGGGAGGCCUUAUAGGGGAGGCGACAUACUACCAGCCUGAACUGAGGUCCGCGCAUCUGCUAGGAUGCUGGCGUAAUGGCUGUAAGCGGC